CAUCGUUUUGGUCCUGAACUUAAUACUACUUUCAACUAAUAUUAUACAUGCAAGCCUCCACCUUCCAGUGCCUACGCCAACAACCACUACAAGAGCAGAUAUCAGGCACACAACACGUAGCCCAAAACAUCUAGCUAAUGCCACACCCCCACGGAACUCAGCAGUAAUUAAUCUUAAGCAAUGAGCCUUAAUUUUUUAAGCUCGACUUAGAUAUAGUUGUCCAAGGGCCGGUUAACUCCGUGCCAGCCACCGCGGUUACACGAAGGGCCCAAAAUAAUAUUAUACGGCGUAAAUUGUGACUAGAAGACAGUUAUAAAACAAGAGCCUACGAAACAGAACAUAGUUGUAAAAUACACGUGCUCCUAGGAACUACUUAAACAACUCUAUCGCCUAACUAUCUUUGACCACACGAAACCUAAGAAACAAACUAGGAUUAGAUACCCUACUAUGCUUAGACAUAAAUUUAGAUAGCCCCUCCAACUAAGCUAUCCGCCAGAGAACUACAAGCACCACCAGCUUUAAACUCAAAGGACUUGACGGUGUCCCACAUCGACCUAGAGGAGCCUGUCCUAUAAUCGACAACCCACGUUAAACCUCACCCCCCAUAGAAACUAUCAGCCUAUAUACCGCCGUCGCCAGCUUACCUUUCAAAAGCUUAAAAACAGUAAGCACAACAGUUCGUCACUAAUACGUCAGGUCAAGGUGUAGCAAAUAGGGUGGUAGAGAUGGGCUACAUUUUCUGCUAGAAUACACCAUCAGCAACAUGAAACAAAGGCUAUAAGGUGGAUUUAGUAGUAAAUUUGGCAAGAAAUGCCCAAUUGAAAAUCGCCCUGGGACGCGUACACACCGCCCGUCACCCUCCUCAAACAACAUAAACCCUUAAAUAAAUAACCAUCACUAUAUCAGAUGAGGUAAGUCGUAACAUGGUAAGUGUACUGGAAAGUGCACUUGGAAAACA
rnacentral:ncRNA from 1 species